UACGAAGGGGGCUAGCGUUACUCGGAAUUACUGGGCGUAAAGGGCGCGUAGGCGGCGUUCCAAGUUAGGCGUGAAAGUCCUGGGCUCAACCUGGGAACUGCGCUUAAGACUGGAGUGCUAGAGGAUGGAAGAGGGUUGUGGAAUUCCCAGUGUAGAGGUGAAAUUCGUAGAUAUUGGGAAGAACACCGGUGGCGAAGGCGGCAACCUGGUCCAUUACUGACGCUGAGGCGCGAUAGCGUGGGGAGCAAACAGG
rnacentral:rRNA from 1 species